AAUGGGCGCAAGCCUGAUCUAGCCAUGCCGCGUGAGUGAUGAAGGCCCCAGGGUCGUAAAGCUCUUUCGCCAGGGAUGAUAAUGACAGUACCUGGUAAAGAAACCCCGGCUAACUCCGUGCCAGCAGCCGCGGUAAUACGGAGGGGGUUAGCGUUGUUCGGAAUUACUGGGCGUAAAGCGCGCGUAGGCGGACUAUUAAGUCAGGGGUGAAAUCCCGGGGCUCAACCCCGGAACUGCCUUCGAUACUGGUAGUCUAGAGUUCGAGAGAGGUGAGUGGAACUCCGAGUGUAGAGGUGAAAUUCGUAGAUAUUCGGAAGAACACCAGUGGCGAAGGCGGCUCACUGGCACGAUACUGACGCUGAGGUGCGAAAGUGUGGGGAGCAAACAGGAUU
rnacentral:rRNA from 1 species